CUAGAAAAUUAUAAAUAAAUAAAUAAAUAACCAACUAAUACUUAGUGUUCCUUUAGUGUCUCUUAGGUAUCAUCAAAAUCAAGAGUAAUGAUGUUAAACCCAGCUACUGGGUUUUAAUACAUUACAAACACAGAGUCACCUACACAAAUGUAACAAGAGACAUACAAAAUCAUCUCAUACCCAAGCAGACAUGUACAGCUUAAACAUUAGCACAGUGCCAUGAACAAACAAAUGCAGUCUCACACAGCAUUAUACAAAGUACGCAAAAACAGCCUGAAACACACAAACUGCUUCUUAGUAAGUGAAACAAACAACGCCUUUGACACAAAAAAAACAAAGGGCAUCACAAUCAAGCAACAUGACAAGUUCAGUUUGACACACACACAAUCAGCAUGACAAACAACUCCACAAACAGCCUGAAACAAGAAUGCAUCCACAAAUUAAAACAGCUAACACACAGAUAUAGUGACAGAUCAUGAGCACAAACUGUGUCACACAUAAAAAAACACACUGUGAGGCAUAUACACACAUAACACACACAGUCAGGAACACACUUUCACAACAACUAACAACCACACACAGACACAACUUGGCAUGUAAUCGCUCACUGCAUUCAAAUUAAAGAUAAACUCUUUCAUGUUGCACUGCAGGUAGGAGACCUGGAAAGUGCACAUAUGGCUAUGACGAACAAAGUUAUCACCCUCUGCAUACAUGGCAGCAGAGAAACCCA